rnacentral:tRNA from 1 species
CGGCCGUGUACGUGACGGACCCGGACGGCUGCUUCGUCCGCAGCCGGACGCACGGCGCGUUCCGGCUCGCGGCCGGGCCGG